rnacentral:rRNA from 1 species
UACGUAGGGUGCGAGCGUUAAUCGGAAUUACUGGGCGUAAAGCGUGCGCAGGCGGCGCGUUAAGACAGGUGUGAAAGCCCCGAGCUUAACUUGGGAAUUGCGCUUGUGACUGGCGUGCUGGAGUGUGGCAGAGGGAGGUGGAAUUCCGACGUGUAGCAGUGAAAUGCGUAGAGAUGUGGAGGAACACCGAUGGCGAAGGCAGCCUCCUGGGCCAGCACUGACGCUCAUGCACGAAGCGUGGGAGC